CGCCUCUUGCUUUAUAUAAGAGGUCCAGCCUGCCCAGUGACCCUGUUAAACGGCCGCGGUACCCUGACCGUGCAAAGGUAGCGUAAUCACUUGCCCCUUAAAUGGGGGCUAGUAUGAAUGGCAUCACGAAGGCCAUACUGUCUCCUUUCUCCAAUCAGUGAAACUAAUCCCCCCGUGAAAAAGCGGGGAUAAAUAUAUAAGACGAGAAGACCCUAUGGAGCUUUAAACAAUACAACAAUUACCUAAAAAAUUUGUAAUUUCAGAAAAUUAAUCAGAAUUAUGGUAUAAUAACUGUAAGUUUUUGGUUGGGGCAACCGCGGAGUGAAAAACAACCUCCAUGCUGAAGUGGGAUUCCCUUAAGAAAAAAACCACAAUUUUAUUCAUCAACAAAUUGACAUAAUUGAUCCAAUAUUUGAUCAACGAACCCAGUUACCCUAGGGAUAACAGCGCAAUCCACUUUGAGAGUCCAUAUUGACAAGUGGGUUUACGACCUCGAUGUUGGAUCAGGAUAUCCCAGUGGUGCAGCCGCUACUAAAGGUUCGUUUGUUCAACGAUUAAAAUCCCU
rnacentral:rRNA from 1 species